rnacentral:rRNA from 1 species
GGUCAAGUGACCAAGGGCUUACGGUGGAUACCUAGGCAUUCAGAAGCGAUGAAGGGCGCGGUAACCGGCGAAACGCUUCGGAGAGCUGGAAACAAGCUUUGAUCCGGAGAUACCCGAAUGAGGCAACUCCUUGUACUAUCUGCUGAAUAGAUAAGCAGAUAAGAGCGAACUCGGUGAACUGAAACAUCUUAGUAACCGAAGGAAAAGAAAGCAAAAGCGAUUCUCCUAGUAGCGGCGAGCGAACGGGGACCAGCCUAAACUAUCGAGCUUGUCUUGAUAGGGUUGUGGGACAGCAUUACGAUAUCGUAAGAAUUAGAAAAAGCAAUUGAAUGUUGCACCUUAGAGGGUGAAAGUCCCGUAUUCGAAAAUUCAAACGAAUCAGCUGUAUCCCGAGUAGCAUGGGGCACGUGAAAUCCCGUGUGAAUCUGCGAGGACCACCUCGUAAGGCUAAAUAUUCCUGAAUGACCGAUAGCGCAAUAGUACCGUGAGGGAAAGGUGAAAAGAACCCCGGGCAGGGGAGUGAAAUAGAAUAUGAAACCGUAAGCCUACAAGCAGUAGAAGGAUGUUGACAUCUGACUGCGUGCCUGUUGAAGAAUGAGCCGGCGACUUAUAGGUAGUGGCAGGUUAAGGUAAGGAAUUACUGGAGCCCUAGCGAAAGCGAGUUUGAAUAGAACGUUUUGUCACUAUUUAUAGACCCGAACCCGGGUGAUCUAACCAUGGCCAGGGUGAAGCUUGGGUAAAACUAAGUGGAGGCCCGAACUGAUUAAUGUUGAAAAAUUACCGGAUGAGUUGUGGUUAGGGGUGAAAUGCCAAUCGAACCCGGAGCUAGCUGGUUCUCCCCGAAAUGUGUUGAGGCGCAGCGGUUGAGAUUAUAACUUAGGGGUAAAGCACUGUUUCGGUGCGGGCUGCGAGAGCGGUACCAAAUCGAGGCAAACUCUGAAUACUAAGUGAAUACUCAGCCAGUUAGACAGUGGGGGAUAAGCUCCAUUGUCAAGAGGGAAACAGCCCAGACCACCAGUUAAGGCCCCUAAAUAAUAGCUAAGUGGCAAAGGAGGUGGGAGUGCUUAGACAACCAGGAGGUUUGCCUAGAAGCAGCAAUCCUUUAAAGAGUGCGUAAUAGCUCACUGGUCAAGCGCUCCUGCGCCGAAAAUGAAUGGGACUAAGCUAUUUGCCGAAGCUGUGGGAUGUACUAUAAAAAAUAGACAUCGGUAGGGGAGCGUUCCGUCAUAGGUUGAAGCAUUCACGUAAGUGAGUGUGGACGAUACGGAAGUGAGAAUGUCGGCUUGAGUAGCGAAAACAUUGGUGAGAAUCCAAUGCCCCGAAAACCUAAGGGUUCCUUUCGGAAGGUUCGUCCACGAAGGGUGAGUCAGGGCCUAAGGCGAGGCCGAAAGGCGUAGUCGAUGGAUAACGGGUUAACAUUCCCGUACCGUUUAUUGUUUGUGUAGAGGGACGGAGAAGGCUAUACCAGCCGGUGAUUGGUUGUUACCGGUUUAAGUGUUUGAAGCAAAGAGAGAUGGAGAAAACAUCUUGAGCCUAAGCACGAAUAGGAUACGUAGGACAGUUUUUCCUUGUGAAAGAUUCGAAUACGGAACUGGUUAGAUGUCACGCUUCCAAGAAAAGCUCUAAACACGUUAAGCAAUAAAUGCCUGUACCCAAAACCGACACAGGUGGGUAAGUAGAGAAUACUAAGGGGCGCGAGAUAACUCUCUCUAAGGAACUCGGCAAAAUAGCCCCGUAACUUCGGGAGAAGGGGUGCCCUUUUUAUAAGGGCCGCAGUGACCAGGCCCAGGCGACUGUUUACCAAAAACACAGGUCUCCGCAAAUUCGUAAGAAGAAGUAUGGGGGCUGACGCCUGCCCAGUGCCGGAAGGUUAAGGAAGUUGGUUAGCCAUUAGGUGAAGCUAGCGACCGAAGCCCCGGUGAACGGCGGCCGUAACUAUAACGGUCCUAAGGUAGCGAAAUUCCUUGUCAGGUAAGUUCUGACCCGCACGAAAGGCGUAACGAUCUGGGCGCUGUCUCGGAGAGAGACUCGGCGAAAUAGACAUGUCUGUGAAGAUGCGGACUACCUGCACCAGGACAGAAAGACCCUAUGAAGCUUUACUGUAGCCUGAUAUUGGGUUCGGGCUUUUCUUGCGCAGUAUAGGUGGGAGGCUAUGAAAGAAUCCUUGUGGGGAUUCUGGAGCCGUCAGUGAGAUACCACUCUGGAAGAGCUAGAAUUCUAACUUUAAGCCGUUAUCCGGCUAAAGAACAGUGUCAGGUGGGCAGUUUGACUGGGGCGGUCGCCUCCUAAAAAGUAACGGAGGCGCGCAAAGGUUCCCUCAGGCUGGACAGAAAUCAGCCGAAGAGUGUAAAGGCAGAAGGGAGCUUGACUGUAAGACCUACAAGUCGAACAGGAACGAAAGUUGGCCUUAGUGAUCCGACGGGACCGAGUGGAAGGGCCGUCGCUCAACGGAUAAAAGUUACUCUAGGGAUAACAGGCUGAUCUCCCCCAAGAGUCCACAUCGACGGGGAGGUUUGGCACCUCGAUGUCGGCUCAUCGCAACCUGGGGCGGUAGUACGUCCCAAGGGUUGGGCUGUUCGCCCAUUAAAGCGGUACGUGAGCUGGGUUCAGAACGUCGUGAGACAGUUCGGUCCAUAUCCGGUGCAGGCGUUAGAGCAUUGAGAGGAGCUCUCCCUUGUACGAGAGGAUCGGGAGGGACACACCGCUGGUGUAUCAGUUAUCGUGCCAACGGUAAAUGCUGAGUAGCUAUGUGUGGAGAGGAUAACCGCUGAAAGCAUCUAAGCGGGAAGCCCACCUCAAGAUGAGUGCUCUCAUCGCCAUUGAGCGAGUAAGAUCACGGCAAGAACAGCCGUUUUAUAGGUGUUAAGUGUAAGUAUAGUAAUAUAUUCAGCUGAGACAUACUAAUAGAUCGAGGGCUUGACUU